AGGGAGGCAGCAGUGAGGAAUUUUGGGCAAUGGCCGAAAGGCUGACCCAGCGACGCCGCGUGCGGGAGGAAGCCCUUCGGGGUGUAAACCGCUGUCAGGGGGGACGAAAGAACUCGGGGUUAACAGCCUCGGGAAGUGACGGUACCCUCAAAGGAAGCACCGGCUAACUCUGUGCCAGCAGCCGCGGUAAUACAGAGGGUGCAAGCGUUGUUCGGAAUUACUGGGCGUAAAGCGCGCGCAGGCGGAUCCUGUAAGUCGGAAGUGAAAUCUCGCUGCUCAACGGCGAGACGGCUUCUGAUACUGCGGAUCUGGAGACCGGUAGAGGCUGGUGGAAUUGCAGGUGUAGCGGUGGAAUGCGUAGAGAUCUGCAAGAACACCCGUGGCGAAGGCGGCCAGCUGGGCCGGUUCUGACGCUGAGGCGCGAAAGCGUGGGGAGCAAACAGGAUUAGAUACCCUGGU
rnacentral:rRNA from 1 species